rnacentral:ncRNA from 1 species
UUGAUAAGGGCCGCCGGGUGAGUGGCGGAGAGAACAAGUAGAUCGUAAAGACGCCGUCAAUCCCUCCCUGGAGGCUCGAGCCGCGCCAUCCUUGGCGCGGACGCUUU